UUGGGAGCUCACUGGCUUCGGAGUCAUGGGAACUCCGUAGUUAAGCGAGUUUGGGCUAGAGCAAUCUCAGGAUGGAUGACCCACUGGAAGUUGCUCGUGAGUUCCCGGA
rnacentral:rRNA from 1 species